rnacentral:tRNA from 3 species
ACCAAGAUGGCCGAGGGGUUAAGGCGGUGGACUUAAGAUCGAGAGAUUCCUGGGUUCGAACCCCAGUCUUGGUA